UUGUAACUGUACUACUGCAUAUUUUAAUUUGCUGGAAGUUAAGGCUUUGAAAUACUCAAGAUACAUCUGUUGCAGGUUGCAUUCUGAAAAAGGAUAGCUACUUCAAAGUGCUGUGCCCAGGAUAAAUUGCUAAUCCAGGAAUGAAGCCAUGGAUAUAUAGAGCUACAAGUAUAAGGCAGCAAAAAAUGCUUUGAUCAGGAGACAUGAGAAGACUCGAUCUUCUGUCUAGUGCUGACACAGGCAUCAGAUGUCUUGUUGAAUCUCUCAUUCUCCUGGACAAGGGCAGUGGUGACAGAUCUCAUCUGGGGCAGAGGGAGGAUGACCAAGGGAGAGAAAAUUCUCAUCUGCCAUGAACAGAUGCAAUCCUUCCUUCACUAAGUAGACAACAGAUUAACACUGACCACAAGAAGAAUGACUAACUUCAGGGAGGAGAAUUAGAAUUGUUUGACCUUUUGUAGUUUCUUUUCAUCAGCUAUAUAGAAAAGAACAUCAUAGCUCAAAGCUCUUGUUGCCUCAGGUUUCUUUCACUUUUAUAACAUUCCUGCGUGGGUAUAAUA
rnacentral:lncRNA from 1 species